UACGUAGGGGGCAAGCGUUGUCCGGAAUCACUGGGCGUAAAGCGCGCGCAGGCGGUCUUUCACGUCCGGGGUGAAAGCCCAGAGCUCAACUCUGGGAUUGCCUUGGAUACGGGGAGACUUGAGGGUCGGAGAGGCAAGGGGAAUUCCACGUGUAGCGGUGAAAUGCGUAGAGAUGUGGAGGAACACCUGUGGCGAAGGCGCCUUGCUGGCCGACUUCUGACGCUGAGGCGCGAAAGCCAGGGGAGCGAACGGG
rnacentral:rRNA from 1 species